AAAGGCCCAAUACCCAGGCUAUGAGUGAAAUCUAGGAAACCUAGGAAUAGAGUGAUUCAUGGGAAGCGGGUGGUAUGGCGCCACUUAGCGGAACAUUGAUAUCACGAGCAGUUCAGACCCUGGUGGGAUAUUGUCGUUACAUACUUCAGGUGUGUAUAUGAUGGUAUUCUGCGAAAGGUUAUUUAUGCUGUGUUUCUCUUCGACUUUACCCUGGCCUAGAUAACACCCGUGAGUGGGGAGGGUUUGAUCAUUACAGGUACAGUUGCUGAUUGGUUGGCGAUUUGUUGGUGACUCUUGGUACUGAUGGUGACUGGGAAUUAUGGAGCAUUUAUUUCUGGGACGCCAGAGUUCUGUCCAUGGUUUAUCAGCGUGUUCCGUUUAUUUCGGAUCCCCGGGCUGAUUUGAGAGUACUUGUUCAGAGGAUCCGUUUGUCACCCGUUCAGUGUUUGUUCCUGUGAAGAUAGUGAUAUAAUCUCCGGUUCCGUUUAUUUCGGAACCCCCCAAGUUGGAUUUAUGGUGACUUGAUCCCACAGAUAUGACUGGUUCAGAAAAGCAGAGGGUCUACAGUUGACUUGGUGGCACAAAGGCCUGCAUUCAUGCAUUUGCAUCAUAUCAUCUCGCAUUCAUCUGCAUUCAACUCAUGUCUGUCCGUACUCAGGGUCCAUUAUUUUUAAAUUAAAAAACCCCGGUUGAGAGACAUCCAGAUGUCAAAAUGUUGUUGAUGAAAUUUUAUCUGUCUCGAUGAAACCAGAAAAAAAGAGGACUGAAUAUUCCUAGUACGGACAGACAUUGCAUGUGUGAGUCAUACUAACCCAUUUGCUGUUUUGUAGGUUCCAGUAAUUCAACCGGUGCGCAUAGCUUGUCUGUUCAGAUAACCUGCUGGGAGUCAACAAAUUCAAGCUGAUGGAUCUUCUCAACGCCGAUAUCCUUGAGCUGAAAGGGAUGAUGAAGGACUUGUUCAGUGUUGUGCAAGGGCUUGCCUUGGGACAGAAGGCCAUGUCUG
rnacentral:lncRNA from 1 species